GAUGAACGCUGGUGGCAUGCCUAACACAUGCAAGUCGAACGAGAUCUUCGGGUCUAGUGGCGCACGGGUGCGUAACGCGUGGGAAUCUGCCCUUUGGUUCGGAAUAACAGUUGGAAACGACUGCUAAUACCGGAUGAUGACGAAAGUCCAAAGAUUUAUCGCCAGAGGAUGAGCCCGCGUAGGAUUAGCUAGUUGGUGUGGUAAAGGCGCACCAAGGCGACGAUCCUUAGCUGGUCUGAGAGGAUGAUCAGCCACACUGGGACUGAGACACGGCCCAGACUCCUACGGGAGGCAGCAGUGGGGAAUAUUGGACAAUGGGCGAAAGCCUGAUCCAGCAAUGCCGCGUGAGUGAUGAAGGCCUUAGGGUUGUAAAGCUCUUUUACCCGGGAUGAUAAUGACAGUACCGGGAGAAUAAGCUCCGGCUAACUCCGUGCCAGCCGCCGCAGUAA
rnacentral:rRNA from 1 species